CAAAGGUUUGGUCCUAGCCUUAAAAUCAACUUUCUCUGAGAUUACACAUGCAAGUCUCCGCACCCCUGUGAAAAUGCCCUUUAACCUCCAAACAGAGGAAGAGGAGCUGGUAUCAGGCCCAAUAUUUAGCCCAUGACACCUUGCUACGCCACACCCCCAAGGGAGCUCAGCAGUGAUUAACCUUGAGCAUAAGCGCCACAAAGCUUGACUCAGCUACAGAGAACUAAAGUCGGUUAAUCUCGUGCCAGCCACCGCGGUUACACGAGAGACUUAAGUUGAUUAUCCACGGCGUAAAGCGUGAUUAAAGAAAAACCUAAAUAAAGCUAAAACCAAACCAAGCUGUCGCACGCUCUCGUUUGAAGGAAACACACUAACGAAAGUAGCUUUAAAAACUUGAACUCACGAUCGCUGAGAAACAAACUGGGAUUAGAUACCCCACUAUGCUCAGCCGUAAACUUUGAUUAAUUACACUAAUCUCCGCCAGGGGACUACGAGCUUCAGCUUAAAACCCAAAGGACUUGGCGGUGCCCCAAAUCCAUCUAGAGGAGCCUGUUCUAUAAUCGAUACCCCCCGCUUAACCUCACCACUUUUUGCCAGCCCCGCCUAUAUACCACCGUCGCCAGCCCACCCUGUGAAGGAACAUUAGUAGGCCUAAUGAUUAAUCAUCAAAACGUCAGGUCAAGGUGUAGCAAAUAAAGUGGAAAGAAAUGGGCUACAUUUUCUAACCAUAGAACACACGAAAGACCUACAUGAAACAUGGUCAGAAGGCGGAUUUAGUAGUAAGAAGAAAAAAGAGUGUUCUUCUUAAAACGGCCCUGGGGCGCGCACACACCGCCCGUCACCCUCUUCAAUAUAACAAAAUACAACUACAUAAACCUAAUUAACCACUAAGAAGAGGCAAGUCGUAACAUGGUAAGCACACCGGAAGGUGUGCUUGGAG
rnacentral:ncRNA from 1 species